GAAGUGGGCGUGUCAUGUCGUGUGACGACAAAUCUAUAUGUGAAAGGGGAGAUAACCACGUAAUAAGGACUGUGUACCCUAAUUACUGACAGAAGAUUUAAGAAUAUAUCUUGCUGAAGUGGGCGUGUCAUGUCGUGUGACGACAAAUCUAUAUGUGAAAGGGGAGAUAACCACGUAAUAAGGACUGUGUACCCUAAUUACUGACAGAAGAUUUAAGAAACCGGCGGAGUAACCAACCGUUAAAAUCUAGCUCAAGUGGGCGUGUCAUUCUCGUGUGACGACAGGAUCUAUAUGUGAAAGGGGAGAUAACCACGUAAUAAGGACUGUAUACCCUUUCGACAGAAGAUUUAAGGGAUGGAGGAGAAAGACAGAGGAAGAAUGCGACAAGAAGAUUAUUUUAUUGUCCGGAAAUUCCAUGUAGAAAUAAUAAAUGAAAUAGACCCUAGAUUCCUCAUACACCAGCUUUUUGCUUGUUUUCUCUUCGAUGAAGAGGACAUGGAACGAGUUCGAGCCGAACAAGAAAGACAUGGACGUACAGCGGGUGCAGUAAAGAUUAUGGAGAUUUUAUACCAUUCAGGUGCCACCGCUUUUCCUAAGUUCUUGGAAACUUUGCAUAAAGCGGGGUAUGGCCGAUUAGCUACACGCCUUGAGGAGGGACAGCAAAUUCAACAAGGACAAGCAGUUCAAGAAGAACAUACAAUUACUGAAUAAUAGAUAUAACAUGAAAACUAUAAACUCUAGGCCUUAAAACUAUCUGGUUAUCAGAAGGUAGAUGUAAUACCCGGUGUACACUGUGUAAUACCCAGUUGACCAGGUGUAAUAUCCAGUAGACCAGGGGUAAUACCCAGUAGACCACCGAGUAUACCCGAUAUAAUACCCAGUAUUCAAGGUGUAAUGUCCAGUAGACCAGGUGUAAUACCCAGUAUUCAAGGUGUAAUACCCAAUAGACCAGCCAAUAUACCCGGUGCAAAGCCCAGUAUACCCGAUAUUACACCUGGACGGACCCGAUGUAUUACCCGGUAUCUGUUAUCGCUCUCUACGGUUUUCCUUUUGUUUGCGUCACUUCCCGUUUCUUCAAAUCAUCGUUACGCAUCUACCAUAGCAAUGAUCUCUGUGUUAGAAUAAUAUUUGGAAUGUGUUUAACCAGUUCUAUCACUUAAGUAAUAUUGGUUGACACCAAAAUUUUCUUUAAGCCUGAAAGGAUUACACAAGAGACUAGUUAUUGAUCGAAGCUUUCUCCGUCGUCUUAACAAACACAAAACCACAAUGUUUGCAUUGAAUCUUUCAAGAAUUAUAGUUUAUAGAAAUGAUAUACAUCCUUGAAGAACAUUCAUAAUAAUACAAAUUUAUAGAUUUACACAGGUGACAAGUCUAUGGAAUACAAUUACUGCUUAUUACUGAGCGACGUUUCGACUGGGCUUCUCUAGUCAUUAUCAAGCAAUGAUAAAAUAUGAAAAUAUAAUAAAUGAAAUGAAAUGAAAUGAAAUGAGGUUUAACGUCCUACUGUUUUGCUCCGAACUGGGCUAACGAAGACGGGCAUACGCCAUACAGUGUGCUAUGACGGAAAUUUUGCCCGGACAGCGGCAUUACGGCCUACUCUUAUAUAAAUAUCGAAUUCAUACUGUCAAGGGAUCUUUUACGUGCACGCCAAUGUGUACACGGUACCUCGGUUUUUCUUCCCAUCUGAACGACUAGACAGACAGCUGUCCUUGUCCUGCAUGAAACAUCGGUCAGUAUUAAGCAGUAAUUGUAUAUGUUCAGUUCAAUUACUAAGUGCCAUUGAAACGAUUUAUAGACUUACUUUGAAAUAAGAUGGGGGCUGUAACGUCCUACUUUUUCGUACCGACUGGGCUAAUAAUGAAAGACAUAAGUCAAACAGUAUUCUCAGACAGAAAGUAUACCCGACUAAGAUUAGGAAAUCAUGUUUAAAGGAUUUGAUUGUUGUUAUGUCUUAAAUAAUUUUGUUUGUUUUGUAUGAUUUGUUUACUCUUUCAUGAAUGUACGAGAGAGAGAGAGAGAGAGAGAGAGAGAGAGAGAUUAUGAGUGUUUGAUUGAAUCGCAAAUUGUUUUUUAUUACUGAGCUACAUCGCGGGUGUUAAAAUCCAUUUAAAUCUCGGCCAUCCGGUGGUCUAGAGAAUUGAUUAUAGACAUGUCUUGUGAAUAAAUGUCUGAAUAAUAAUUGAUAUAAUAUUUGAAGCCGAAAUAAAAACCUCUAACAGGUAUGGUUUAAUGCUCGAGAGCGAGAAAUUAAGUAAUAUAUUGAUACUGCACGAGGCGUUAGCCGAGUGUUGUUUCAAUAUAUUACGCAAUGUCUUUAGAUCGAGACCAUUAAACAACUUAAAAUACA